rnacentral:rRNA from 1 species
UGCGGUUUAUGUAUAACGACUGCCUGCGAGCAUCUGAUUUUGGGUGGAAUAGGAAGUAGGACUUUGGUUCUAUUUUGUUGGUUUCUAGGAACGAAGUAAUGAUUAAUAGGGAUAGUUGGGGGCAUUAGUAUUUAAUUGUCAGAGGUGAAAUUCUUGGAUUUGUGAAAGACUAACUUCUGCGAAAGCAUUUGCCAAGGAUGUUUUCAUUAAUCAAGAACGAAAGUUAGGGGAUCGAAGACGAUCAGAUACCGUCGUAGUCUUAACCAUAAACUAUGCCGACUAGGGAUCGGACGACGUUACUUAUUUUGACUCGUUCGGCACCUUAUGAGAAAUCAAAGUUUUUGGGUUCCGGGGGGAGUAUGGUCGCAAGGCUGAAACUUAAAGGAAUUGACGGAAGGGCACCACCAGGAGUGGAGCCUGCGGCUUAAUUUGACUCAACACGGGGAAACUCACCAGGUCCAAUCGGAUCCC